GUUUGUCCCCCAAAGGUUCCUGUGCUAGACUCUUGGUCCCCAGUGAGGUGACGGAAGCUUUAGGAGCUCAAGCCCAGAAGAAGCUCUAUUUGUUUAAAUGGGGAAAUAUGUAAUACCCAAAAGGCUGGAGACUCAAACUACACCCGAAGCAAGCUCAAAUGAUUUGGAACCUUUGGGAAGUGAUCCUCGCAAGACUUUUGUAGCUGCUGCUGCAGGGGUACAGGAGGAUGGACAGAAAGGACAGACUGUGGAGAGCAGUAAUCACUGUGUAACUGAGUUCUUCCAAUUGAGCUCCAGACAACUCUCUACUCACAGGACCUCAAACUCACAAGAACGUUGGUUUCAUGUUAUUACGGCUAGAUGUGCUUUGCUGUGAACUUCAGGAGUCGGUCACACACUGCACAGGGACGGCUUUGGUUAACGACGGGCUGCAUGUGUGAUGGUGGCCCCAGAAGGUCUGCAGCCUAGUGAUGUCACAGCCACCUAGUUUGUGCAGCAUGCUCUAUGAUAUUCACACAGUAAAGAGUCACCUACCAACACACCUUUCAGAAGGGAGCCCUGUCUUUAAGUGACACAAAAUAUACAUUAUGUCUAAAUUAAAAAAUUAUGACAGUAUAAGACACAUUGCCAUUAAUACCCCUCAAAAUGCUCAGCCUUGCUUGGAACACACUCAGCCCAUCCCUCUUGUCACUUUCUGAAACAAUUCUGGAAGGCCUCUUUUAGUGUCUUAACAAAGAGUAAUUAAAAAUAAAAAACAAAAAAACCCACUGCCGUCCAGUGGAAAGGCGGGCGCCUGGAGACACCAAGGUGUGUCCUCUUCA